UACGGGAGGCAGCAGUGGGGAAUAUUGCACAAUGGGCGCAAGCCUGAUGCAGCCAUGCCGCGUGUAUGAAGAAGGCCUUCGGGUUGUAAAGUACUUUCAGUCGUGAGGAAGGUGUUAAGGUUAAUAACCUUAGCAAUUGACGUUAGCGACAGAAGAAGCACCGGCUAACUCCGUGCCAGCAGCCGCGGUAAUACGGAGGGUGCGAGCGUUAAUCGGAAUUACUGGGCGUAAAGGGCACGCAGGCGGUUAAUUAAGUUGGAUGUGAAAUCCCCGGGCUUAAACCUGGGAAUGGCAUUCAAGACUGGUUAGCUAGAGUCUUGUAGAGGGGGUAGAAUUCCAUGUGUAGCGGUGAAAUGCGUAGAGAUGUGGAGGAAUAACCGGUGGCGAAGGCGGCCCCUGGACAAAAGACUGACGCUCAUGUGCGAAAGCGUGGGGAGCAAAACAGGGAUUAGAUACC
rnacentral:rRNA from 1 species